rnacentral:rRNA from 1 species
AUCGGCUAGACUUUGUAAACUUGAACUCUAAUUGGUGUUGGUUUGAGGUUUUGUUUUUAUCUUGUUUUUUAGGGUGAAAUCAGAAAUUUUUAUUAAUGGUGCCUUAAACUUUAAGAUUUGGUGAAUGAAUCAGAUUAGUACCUGAUUAAACAAAAGUUAAAAGAGCAGGAGUAAAGUUAUGUUUAAACUGAAAGAGUAUUGGCAGGUUUUUAAAUUAUCUUUGGAGGUUGAGUAGUAAUUGAGAGCCCUCAUUAACAACUUUUACUGUAGGCGCAUGUAUGAUCGUUUAUUUUAUUCUUAAGGAUUGCAAUUUUAGAUGGGUCUCUGUUAAAAUAGAUAGAUAUUUGGUGUAUGUAGAAGAUUUAAUUUGACCUACAGUAUAUUAUUUUGUGGAUACCUCUCUAGUAGGGGGUUGAAAGUGUAAAAGACAGUAAGUUUUUUUUUAUGUAAGACUGAAGUUUAUUUAAGAACGGUACAAAGCAUC